rnacentral:lncRNA from 1 species
CUGCUCCGCGCUCUGCACGUGGUUGGUGAUGGGGUUGCCGAGGUACUGGAGCUCGGAGCAGUAGGAGGCCAUGGCGAUCUCGGUGCCCUUGAAGCCGUAGUCAAGACUGGGGUUGCGGCUGCCGGCCAGGUUGGAGGUGAGGCCGUUGUUGUAGAACUCGUUCACGAGCUCGGAGAACUGCGCGAACAUGAGCUUCCCGAUGUUGGCGAUGGCGAGGCGGGCGUUGUCCAUGGACACGCCGAUGGGGGUGCCCUGGAAGUUGCCUCCGUGAAGCGCCUUGCCACGGUGGACGUCGAUGACCGGAUUGUCGUUGACCGAGUUGACCUCGCGCUCGAUGGACUUGGUGGCGGCGCGGAUGACCUCGAUCUGCGGGCCGAGCCACUGCGGCGACGUGCGGAGCGCGUACCUGUCCUGCUUGGGCUUGAGCAGCGGGUCCAGCUCGUUGACCUUCUUGGCGUGCUUCAUGAACUCGCUGCCCUCCAGGAUGUGCUCCAUGAUGGCGGCGGCCUCGAUGGAGCCCGG